GGAGGAGGGCUGCCGAGGCGGCCCCGAAAAGCCACGCCGUUUCUCGCCACGCUGAAGCCCAGGGCUGCGGUGACGGGCCCCUGCCCUCUCCAGCGGCCUCCCGUCCCCGCCUGCUGGGGACCAGCCCGGCGGGAGCCGGCGCCGUCCCGCUCUUGGCGGGGCCAUCUCCCGCCAACGGGGGGUUUCGCACGUGUGCCGGAGCUGAAUUUGGGUACAACUCCCCGUUCUCCUGGUGCUUUAUAUGCUGCUGGUGGGCGAUGCUGCUUGCCUGCGCUGCUGCCCUUGCUCCCCGGAGGCCCUGCUUCGUUGAAUUUAGCCAGGAGCCGGGAAAGCCCAGCUCCGAGCCACAUACUGCUAAACCCCACACUGGUAUCCUUUCAUGGCUCUUUACUUCCAUGAUUUAAUUUCUCCCCAAAGAACUUUAUUCUGGUUUUUAAAUAAAGAAUGAGCUUUCUAAUAA